rfam:Asian citrus Psyllid, Diaphorina citri - Florida Strain, whole genome shotgun sequence.
GCCUGCGGCGAUAGCACGUUGAGUACUCAAGUUCCCACUUUAUCAUUGAAGCUAAGCAACAUUGCGCGUGGUUAAUGUCCGGAUGGGUGACCAUCCGGCAGGUAGCUUGUCGCCGAAUGAU